UUAUUUGUUAUAAAAAAGGUCAACCUUGUAGAUCGACCGAUCUCCAAAAACUAUCGGUUUGUAUUUUGAAGCUAAGCUUUCAGCAUAAAUAAAAGAAAAGUGAUAAGUAGUCGAACAAGUUGCUUGUUAUUGUAGUACGUGAGCUAGGUCAUGUUUUCUCAUCUUUUUUUUCUUUUACAGAACACUAUUGUUGACGAACGUGGCUCUUUUGCCGUGAGCAGCCCGUUUCCGGGCCCACUUUUACAAAUACUUAAAUCAAUAAGAAAGCUGCCAGCUAGGGUUGCUCUUGUUGGUGAUGUCGUGCGCCUCGAAGAUGAAAAGGCUAACUCAGCGGCUGAAAGCCUUAGGGAAACUGUAUUAGCAUACCAGAGAGAGCUGUCAAUGAGUCGAGCUAUUCCGUUUCUGGAAUAUUGAGUUCGCCCGAAGUCAAUUCCACUUCUCGGAUUGAAAAUCUCCGGGACUUAUGCCAAGGCAACGAUCAGUACUCUGUGUACAGGUUCAAUAUAAGUUCGUGCAUGUAUAUUGAUGCCAAGGGCGGAACUCAUGAAGUAAAUCUCGAGGAUAUGGAAAAGUCUAAGGCGGAUCCUUUAUGUAAGACCUAUUUUCUUUUGU